rnacentral:rRNA from 1 species
UACGGAGGGGGCUAGCGUUAUUCGGAAUUACUGGGCGUAAAGCGCACGUAGGCGGCUUUGUAAGUUAGAGGUGAAAGCCCAGGGCUUAACCCUGGAAUUGCCUUUAAGACUGCAUCGCUAGAAUCGUGGAGAGGUGAGUGGAAUUCCGAGUGUAGAGGUGAAAUUCGUAGAUAUUCGGAAGAACACCAGUGGCGAAGGCGACGCACUGGACACGUAUUGACGCUGAGGUGCGAAAGCGUGGGGAGCAAACAGG